rnacentral:rRNA from 1 species
UACGUAGGGUGCGAGCGUUAAUCGGAAUUACUGGGCGUAAAGCGUGCGCAGGCGGUUUUGUAAGACAGAUGUGAAAUCCCCGGGCUCAACCUGGGAACUGCAUUGGAAACUAACGGGCUCGAGUGUGGCAGAGGGGGGUGGAAUUCCACGUGUAGCAGUGAAAUGCGUAGAGAUGUGGAGGAACACCUGUGGCGAAGGCGGCCCCCUGGUUGGAUACUGACGCUGAGACGCGAAAGCGUGGGGAGCAAACAGG